rnacentral:tRNA from 2 species
GGCCCCGUAGCUCAGUGGAUAGAGCAUCUGCCUCCUAAGCAGAGGGUCGCAGGUUCAACUCCUGCCGGGGUCA